rnacentral:pre_miRNA from 1 species
UGGUUGUUUGGGUUCCUGGCAUGAUGAUUUGUAACUUAAGAUUAAAAUCACAUUGCCAGGGAUUACCACACAGCC